UAGGCAAAACAAAUACAAAAUUUCGGAAAAUACUAAGCGUAAUACAUAUAUUUUUUAAUAAAGACGGACCUACAUUUUGUGUGAAUUAUCCUUACUAUUGAAAAGUCAUGGAUUUUCGAAGAUUUUCUGCGGGCGGAGGAGAUGUGGACUGUAUGAACUUACAGGAGCAAUCCUUUGUUAAUUAUUAUAAUCUUCCUUUCGUUGGAGAUAGUUACGCCAGAUAUUUAUAUCCAAGUCUUACACAAAGCUACCAACGUCGUUUUGAAGAAGAUGUGCGGAGAGCUCAUGAAAGGUUACGACGAAUAAUGCACAUUCCUGAUACCGCAUUCAUGCCACAUCUAGAAGAUGCAAUCAAUAUGCGUUCUUUCACUCCUAAGGUCUUUACUUCAGAGUAUAGUCGACUGCACCGUACCUCAUUAUUACAGUUUCAACAAAGACUAGACAUUGUAAUCCAACAAUGUUACCAAGACAAGUGCCUUGAGCUUAAUGAUGAAAUUAGGAGCAAAACAAAGGUUCUAUAUAUACUUGCGAUCACUAUGGCUAUAGGUUUGGGAUGUGUGUUAUGGUGUGGGUACACAAAAAUUCGACGUCUUAUGUUGUAAUCAAAAUUUUUGAAGAAAACCGAUGCUGCGGUUGUCAGUGUCGUUAAUCUCACAUCAACAAUUAUUAAGCAUUACUUUUUUACUACUUGAGUUUGUUUGGAAAUUAUUCAUGGUGUCAAAAUUUGGAAGUAGAUCCAUUAAUGAAACUUCAAAUAAUUUCAAAUCUAUUGUGUAUUUGUACUGAAAAAUUUGUCAUCGUUAAUUGCUGCUAGAGGAAUAGACCGAAAUCUUCGCCAGAAGCUUACAUUCGUUUUUUCUACGCACUAUCGCACCUUGAUAAGUAAACACACCACAUAAAGCUUUGAAUCCAAUGAAGUACCGUUGAUAUAGACAUUUUAUGGCAUGGUUUAUAAAUGGUACGUAUUGCUGCUUGGAAUUUGUAGAACAAUUCUAGUACUCUAGAUCAACUAUAUAAAUCUGGACCAACGGAUAUCAGCACUACGUUUUUCAUAUGAUUUCUAGUUUUAAUUUAAACCGAUAAUACGCUUCAGCAAUUAUUAAAAGUACAUUGAAUAAAAUCUG